CUGAACCAGCCAAGUAGCGUGAAGGAUGACUGCCCUAUGGGUUGUAAACUUCUUUUAUAAAGGAAUAAAGUCGGGUAUGGAUACCCGUUUGCAUGUACUUUAUGAAUAAGGAUCGGCUAACUCCGUGCCAGCAGCCGCGGUAAUACGGAGGAUCCGAGCGCUAUCCGGAUUUAUUGGGUUUAAAGGGAGCGUAGAUGGAUGUUUAAGUCAGUUGUGAAAGUUUGCGG
rnacentral:rRNA from 1 species